rnacentral:rRNA from 1 species
UACGGAGGGUGCAAGCGUUGUCCGGAUUUAUUGGGUUUAAAGGGAGCGUAGGCGGCCUAUUAAGUCAGUGGUGAAAUCCAGCAGCUUAACUGUUGAACUGCCAUUGAUACUGAUUGGCUUGAGUACUGAUGAGGUAGGCGGAAUUGAUAGUGUAGCGGUGAAAUGCAUAGAUAUUAUCAAGAACACCGAUUGCGAAGGCAGCUUACUAAGGAGUAACUGACGCUGAGGCUCGAAAGCGUGUGGAUCGAACAGG